UUGCUUCAGCAGCAUAUCUAUUAAAAUUGUAAUGUUACAGAGAUUAGCCUGGCCCCUGUUCAAGGAUGACACGCAAAUUCAUGAAGCUUUUUAUACAUAUUUUU